rnacentral:pre_miRNA from 1 species
UGGACAGCUUAUGAUAUUCGACUGUAUUCACGGCGUGAAAUAGGGGAUUAUACUGUUUUUAAAAUGGAAAGUGAAUCAAUUAACAUAAUAGACUCCU